AGUUUGAUCCUGGCUCAGGAUGAACGCUAGCGGCAGGCUUAAUACAUGCAAGUCGUGGGGCAGCAGGUUUGUAGCAAUACAGAUGCUGGCGACCGGCAAACGGGUGCGGAACACGUACAGAACCUUCCUUUGAGCGGGGAAUAGCCCAGAGAAAUUUGGAUUAAUACCCCAUAGUAUAAUGAAGUGGCAUCACGUUAUUAUUAAAGAUUUAUCACUCGAAGAUGGCUGUGCGGCUGAUUAGGUAGUUGGCGGGGUAAAGGCCCACCAAGCCUGCGAUCAGUAACUGGUGUGAGAGCACGACCAGUCACACGGGCACUGAGACACGGGCCCGACUCCUACGGGAGGCAGCAGUAAGGAAUAUUGGUCAAUGGAGGCAACUCUGAACCAGCCAUGCCGCGUGGAGGAUGAAGGUCCUCUGGAUUGUAAACUUCUUUUAUAUGGGACGAAAAAGGCUUUUCUAAGCCGUCUGACGGUACCAUAUGAAUAAGCACCGGCUAACUCCGUG
rnacentral:rRNA from 1 species